CCUACGGUAGGCUGCAGUGGGGAAUAUUGGACAAUGGGCGAAAGCCUGAUCCAGCCAUGCCGCGUGUGUGAAGAAGGCCUUCGGGUUGUAAAGCACUUUCAGUGGGGAAGAAAGCCUUGGGGCUAAUACCCUCGAGGAAGGACAUCACCCACAGAAGAAGCACCGGCUAACUCCGUGCCAGCAGCCGCGGUAAUACGGAGGGUGCGAGCGUUAAUCGGAAUUACUGGGCGUAAAGCGCGCGUAGGCGGUCUGAUAAGCCGGUUGUGAAAGCCCCGGGCUCAACCUGGGAACGGCAUCCGGAACUGUCAGGCUAGAGUGCAGGAGAGGAAGGUAGAAUUCCCGGUGUAGCGGUGAAAUGCGUAGAGAUCGGGAGGAAUACCAGUGGCGAAGGCGGCCUUCUGGACUGACACUGACGCUGAGGUGCGAAAGCGUGGGUAGCAAACAGGAUUAGAUACCCUGGUAGUC
rnacentral:rRNA from 1 species